AUGCAUGCUUACCUAUUCUCUGUUACAAUGGAAAUGUUACGAAUUAUGUUAUGCGUUGAAAGAAAAUUUACGGGUUUCUCGGACUGAUCUAAUGUAUCAUUUUCUCCCUCUAUUUAAUCAUCUUACAUGUUUUAUAACAUGAUUGUGGGAAUAUUACAUGAUUGGCCUAAGAUGGAUUUUUAGAAUUCCAUGGAUGUGUUAAGCUUUUCUGGAAUGAUUGAUGGUGGCCAUUUCUCUGGUUUGCAAUUUUUUUUAGCCAUGAAGGGAAGUUUAAAAGCAUGCCUCUUGUCCUAUGUUCUGAGCCUUUGAGGAAUUCUUUUGCCUGCUGCCCUUAGCCGAGAAUCGCUAAAGCCGAAAUCUGUUUAGUUGCUUUUUUUAUUUCUUUAUAACUUGGCUUUGAAUGGUCCUUACCUUUAUGUUGUAAGAAUACAGGAAUGUUAACUUAAAUGAUAUGCAUAAAUGCAUUAAUGAUGCUUCACCAUUCAGUGGAGAUUAAUAACUCAGAGAGGAAACUGGAAGUAAGCCGGUUCAUGGGUUGAGGCGUCACGUCGGGGUUGCUUUGAGCCUGACUUUUCUGAAGUGCUAUACACAUUCUCUUUGGAAUUUUGGAAUUUCAGGGUCACUAAUUGUGUGGGUUAUUUUAAUUGAGUUGGGAUUUUAGUUGGCUUUCUUUGGGCUUCCUUUGAGUUUCAGUUAUGAGGCUAUCUAUUAAUCUGAAAGUUAAAAAAAUU